UUAGAGUUUGAUCCUGGCUCAGGAUGAACGCCGGCGGUGUGCCUAAUACAUGCAAGUCGUACGCACUGGCCCAACUGAUUGAUGGUGCUUGCACCUGAUUGACGUUGGAUCACCAGUGAGUGGCGGACGGGUGAGUAACACGUAGGUAACCUGCCCCGGAGCGGGGGAUAACAUUUGGAAACAGAUGCUAAUACCGCAUAACAACAAAAGCCACAUGGCUUUUGUUUGAAAGAUGGCUUUAGCUAUCACUCUGGGAUGGACCUGCGGUGCAUUAGCUAGUUGGUAAGGUAACGGCUUACCAAGGCGAUGAUGCAUAGCCGAGUUGAGAGACUGAUCGGCCACAAUGGAACUGAGACACGGUCCAUACUCCUACGGGAGGCAGCAGUAGGGAAUCUUCCACAAUGGGCGCAAGCCUGAUGGAGCAACACCGCGUGAGUGAAGAAGGGUUUCGGCUCGUAAAGCUCUGUUGUUGGAGAAGAACGUGCGUGAGAGUAACUGUUCACGCAGUGACGGUAUCCAACCAGAAAGUCACGGCUAACUACGUGCCAGCAGCCGCGGUAAUACGGAGGAUGCGAGCGUUAUCCGGAUUUAUUGGGUUUAAAGGGUGCGCAGGCGGAGGUGCAAGUCAGCGGUCAAAUUGCGGGGCUCAACCCCGUACUGCCGUUGAAACUGCAUCCCUUGAGUGCGCGAGAAGUAUGCGGAAUGCGUGGUGUAGCGGUGAAAUGCAUAGAUAUCACGCAGAACUCCGAUUGCGAAGGCAGCAUACCGGCGCGCAACUGACGCUCAUGCACGAAAGCGUGGGUAUCGAACAGGAUUAGAUACCCUGGUAGUCCACGCAGUAAACGAUGAACACUAACUGUUCGGCCAGAAUGAUGGCUGAGUGGUACAGCGAAAGCGUUAAGUGUUCCACCUGGGGAGUACGCCGGCAACGGUGAAACUCAAAGGAAUUGACGGGGGCCCGCACAAGCGGAGGAACAUGUGGUUUAAUUCGAUGAUACGCGAGGAACCUUACCCGGGCUCAAACGACACAGGAAUACUUUUGAAAGGAGGUAGCCCUACGGGGUCUGUGUCGAGGUGCUGCAUGGUUGUCGUCAGCUCGUGCCGUGAGGUGUCGGCUUAAGUGCCAUAACGAGCGCAACCCCUAUCGCCAGUUACCAUCAAGUAAAGUUGGGGACUCUGGCGAGACUGCCGGCGCAAGCUGAGAGGAAGGCGGGGAUGACGUCAAAUCAGCACGGCCCUUACGUCCGGGGCGACACACGUGCUACAAUGGGGCAUACAGAGAGUUGGUCAUGCGCAAGCAUGAUCGGAUCAUGAAAGUGUCCCUCAGUUCGGACUGGGGUCUGCAACCCGACCCCACGAAGCUGGAUUCGCUAGUAAUCGCGCAUCAGCCAUGGCGCGGUGAAUACGUUCCCGGGCCUUGUACACACCGCCCGUCA
rnacentral:rRNA from 1 species